UUUGAUGUUCUUUAGUAUAUUAGGUAUCUAAUGCUGCAUGAGAAGUUAUCCCCAAAACAUAGCGGCUUAAAACAAUAAACACUUAUUAUCCCACAGUUUCUGUGGUUCAAGAACUCAGAAGCAGCUUAGCUGGCUGAUUCUGGCUCAAGGUAUUUUAUGAGGCUGCAGCUGAGAUGCUAGCUAGAGCUAUAAUCAUCUGAAGGGCUGGCCAGGGCAGAAGGAUACACUUCCAAGGUAGCUCAUUCAUGCCUCAUAAGCUGAUGCUGGUUAUUGGCAGGAGGGCUCAAUUCUUCUCCAGUCGGGCUUUUCCAUGGGUUGCCUGAGUGACCUCACAACAUGGUGACUGGCUUCAUCCAGAGUGAGUGAUCCAAGAAUGGGCAAGGUGGAAGCCACAAUGCCUUUCAUGACUUAACCUCCAACGUCACACCCCUUCAUUUGCACAAUACCCUAUUAGUUAUGAAAGUCAGCCCCAUUAAGUGUGAGUGAGGACAAUAUAAGGGUGUGAAAGAAAGAAUCAUUCGGGAUCAUCUUGGAGGCUGGUUACCAGACACAGUUUCACCUACAAUAUCUUCAGAAAUGUCAAUGAUGCUAUGAACUUGCUAAAGAUAACCUGAUUGACUUGAGG
rnacentral:lncRNA from 1 species